GUAAAACGCUCACCCGUCAUCCGGAGUUUGUUUGGUGUGUUAGACAUGGACCCCUUGUUUCCCACCUUGUGCAUUUUAGACACAAGUGUGCCACAAAAUAGGCAACAAUGCCUUCUUAAGGCUUCAAAGGAGGCUAAGGCACUGGCAUCCCGCAACACAUGCUAUAAUAGAAACAAAGUCCAGGAUAAAAAGACAGCUUGUGAGGAAGCCAAAAAGAGAUGUCAGCCCAUUACCUUGACUCCAUCAGAGGUGCAGUACCUUGGCCAGCUCCAGAUUACAUUUGGCAAAUACAACGGCCAAAGUUUUAAAUGGCUGGUGGAGAACGAUGUCGGCUACAUUAAGUAUCUGCUAGAUAUGCACAUAAAAGAACGCCGCCAUCAUGAAAGAAAAGCGAGCCCUGAUGAGUGGGUGAAGGAUCUCCUGCUGAGGUAUGUGCAGCUGUUUCCACAGGUCUCCUGCCACCUCGAGAUCAACGUGGACAGGGCCAUUUAUGGGCAGGGCCGCUUCAGGUCGUUUACAUUCCUGGAGAUGUGGCAGUGGUACAGCCUGCACAAGACUCUCCAGGCUGACCCGCAAGCUGGGACCGACCACGAGAGGAAAAUGGCACAGGAGGCGCACUGCUCUGUGCAGCAGUGGCUGGUGAUGAAGGCGGAGGACAUCACCACCAAGUCACUGAAGCGCUUCAGGCAGUACAUUCUCGACAAAGAGAAACCUCCACAGGACAGGGACCCUCCCGCAGCAGCUGCCAGCUCCAGUUCAUCAGGGUCCAAAGGUGAUGGCGGCUGGGUGGAUGACGCUCUGCUGGUGGAAGCUCUCACCUCCUUUGAAAGACAAGCAGCUGGGGAAGCUGAGGGUAGAAAAAAGUAUCCAGACAAAGAGACCCAUCCAGAUCCUCCACAGAAGCCAGCCACAGACUAUGUUUCACCGUAUACUGCUCCUGCAUCAGCUCCUGCAGCAGCUCCUCCAUCAGCUCCUGCAGCAGCUCCUGCAUCAGCUCCUCCAUCAGUUUCUGCAGCAGCUCCUCCAUCAGUUUCUGCAGCAGCUCCUCCAUCAGCUCCUGCAGCAGCUCCUCCAUCAGCUCCUGCAUCAGCUCCUCCAUCAGUUUCUGCAGCAGCUCCUCCAUCAGCUCCAUCAGUCAGAAGGCCUUUCU
ensembl:lncRNA